AAAGGAGAUAGUGCCUUCGGGACCGUGAACACAGGCGGUGCAUGGCUGUCGUCAGCUCGUGUCGUGAGAUAAAGGGUUAAGUACCGCAACGAGCGUAACCCUCGUUCUUAGUUGCCAUCAUUUAGUUGGGCACUUUAAAAAGUCUUCCGGUGAUAAUCCGGAGGAAGGUAAGUUGGAGUGUCUAUCAAGUCUUCCCCGUACUCCCUGCCUUUCACACGUACUACAAUGGUCGAGCCAAAGAGUCGCUAACCUCCAAAAGUCCACUAUUUUCUUCCACUCGAUUUCAUCUCACAUUGCAGUUUACAACUCGCCUGCAUCAAGUAGAAUCGUUAGUAAUCGCAGGUCAGCAAUACCGCGGUUAAUCCGUUCCCGGGCCUUGUCCACACCGCCCGUCACCCUAUUGACGCUAGUCAUACCAGAGACUAUCCCGUAACUUUAAAGAGGGCGCCCUUUAAGCUAGGGCUAGUGACUGGGAUGAAGUCAAAACAAGG
rnacentral:rRNA from 1 species